rnacentral:rRNA from 1 species
CCUACGGGAGGCAGCAGUCGGGAAUAUUGCGCAAUGGGGGAAACUCUGAUGCAGUGACGCCGCGUGAAGGAAGAAGUAUUUCGGUAUGUAAACUGCUAUCAGCAGGGAAGAAAAUGACGAUUCCUGACUAAAUAACCCCCGCUAACUUCGUUCCCGCCGCCGCGGUAAAACGUAGGGGACAAGCGUUAUCCGGAUUUAAUUGGUGGAAAGGGGGCGUAGGCGGUGAAGCAAGUGAGAAGUGAAAGCCCUGGGCUUAACUGAGGGACUGCUAAUGAAACUAUUGAACUAGAUUGCAGGAGAGGAAAGUGGAAUUCCUAGUGUAGCGGUGAAAUGCGUAGAUAUUAGGAGGAACACCAGUGGCGAAGGCGACUUACUGGACUGUAAAUGACGUUGAGGCACGAAAGCGUGGGGAGCAAACAGGAUUAGAUACCCUAGUAGUC